AGCGGCGGACGGGUGAGUAAUACGUGGGUGAUCUGCCCAUCAGACGGGGACAACGAUUGGAAACGAUCGCUAAUACCGGAUAGGACGAAAGUUUAAAGGUGCUUCUGGCACCGCUGAUGGAUGAGCCUGCGGCGCAUUAGCUAGUUGGUAGGGUAAAGGCCUACCAAGGCGACGAUGCGUAGCCGACCUGAGAGGGUGAACGGCCACACUGGGACUGAGACACGGCCCAGACUCCUACGGGAGGCAGCAGUAGGGAAUCUUCGGCAAUGGGCGAAAGCCUGACCGAGCAACGCCGCGUGAAUGAUGAAGGCCUUCGGGUUGUAAAAUUCUGUUAUAAGGGAAGAACGACUUUAGUAGGAAAUGGCUAGAGUGUGACGGUACCUUAUGAGAAAGCCACGGCUAACUACGUGCCAGCAGCCGCGGUAAUACGUAGGUGGCGAGCGUUAUCCGGAAUUAUUGGGCGUAAAGAGCGCGCAGGUGGUUGAUUAAGUCUGAUGUGAAAGCCCACGGCUUAACCGUGGAGGGUCAUUGGAAACUGGUCGACUUGAGUGCAGAAGAGGGAAGUGGAAUUCCAUGUGUAGCGGUGAAAUGCGUAGAGAUAUGGAGGAACACCAGUGGCGAAGGCGGCUUCCUGGUCUGUAACUGACACUGAGGCGCGAAAGCGUGGGGAGCAAACAGGAUUAGAUACCCUGGUAGUCCACGCCGUAAACGAUGAGUG
rnacentral:rRNA from 1 species